UACGUAGGUGGCAAGCGUUGUCCGGAUUUAUUGGGUUUAAAGGGUGCGUAGGCGGUCCCAUAAGUCAGUGCUGAAAUAUCCCGGCUUAACCGGGAGGGUGGCAUUGAUACUGCGGGACUUGAGUGGAGUUGAAGUGGGCGGAAUUGACGGUGUAGCGGUGAAAUGCUUAGAUAUCGUCAAGAACACCGAUAGUGAAGACAGCUCACUAAGCUCAAACUGACGCUGAGGCACGAAAAGUGUGGGGAUCAAACAGG
rnacentral:rRNA from 1 species